UACAGAGGUCUCAAGCGUUGUUCGGAUUCAUUAGGCGUAAAGGGUGCGUAGGCGGCGCGGUAAGUCGGGUGUGAAAUCUUGGAGCUUAACUCCGAAACUGCAUUCGAUACUGCCGUGCUUGAGGACUGGAGAGGAGACUGGAAUUUACGGUGUAGCGGUGAAAUGCGUAGAUAAUCGUAAGGAAGACCAGUGGCGAAGGCGGGUCUCUGGACAGUUCCUGACGCUGAGGCACGAAGGCCAGGGGAGCAAACGGG
rnacentral:rRNA from 1 species